UCCUACGGGACGCAGCAGUGAGUAACUGUUCACGUUUCGACGGUAUCUAACCAGAAAGCCACGGCUAACUACGUGCCAGCAGCCGCGGUAAUACGUAGGUGGCAAGCGUUAUCCGGAUUUAUUGGGCGUAAAGGGAACGCAGGCGGUCUUUUAAGUCUGAUGUGAAAGCCUUCGGCUUAACCGGAGUAGUGCAUUGGAAACUGGGAGACUUGAGUGCAGAAGAGGAGAGUGGAACUCCAUGUGUAGCGGUGAAAUGCGUAGAUAUAUGGAAGAACACCAGUGGCGAAAGCGGCUCUCUGGUCUGU
rnacentral:rRNA from 1 species